AAAAGGAAGGCAGUCUCCAUUGCAAACGGCAGCAGUUCCUCAGGGCCAGUGGCCUCACUCACCCAAGCACACUUCAAUAGAGGAGGGAUCUAGAGGGGGGCCUUUGGGUGCCCGCAUCACACUGGCGCUGCCUGGGUAUUGUGACAGCAUCAUUAAGGACUGUCAGUGUAGAUGAGGGUGUCCCUAAGGUGAGCAGCUCCCAGAGGUAUCUCUCCUAGAGUGACCCUAAAACAAAAGUGUCUGCUGGAGAAGAUCAGGACCAGAUCAGGACCUCACAAUGCACUGUGUGCUGUGUACUCUGGGGAGCUGUGCCCUGGGGCCCCCAGGGACAAGGACAGCCAUAGAAGCCUUGAGCUGCCCUCCUACUCAAUGACAGGAGCACCCCACAGGACAGAGACAGACAAGGGUGAGGAAGAGGGGAGCCAGGGUGGUGUCGCAAAGAGAUCUGGGCAGUUAAGCAGUGGUGCAUGGAGAGGCCUGGGCAACCAUCACAGUUCUGAGCUGACAACUAGGGAGAGAGACAUUAUGUCAUUUUGCCACCACCGUGCUUACAUGGCUGACGCUGGGGCUGCCUGGCCUCGUUGAGGACAUCUCUUCGCAUCAGAUGACAAGCAGAGGUCACAUGUUUAACGUCUUGCUCAACUUUGUCAACUGCCAUUGCUCUUUCUGGGGCUGGAAUGAAAAUGCAGUGCCUACUGGAGGAAAGAAAGCCCACUUCUACACAAGAGGACUGUGUCAUUUGUUGUGCCCCACAUUGUCAGCAGGGACUAUCUGGCCCCACAGGCCACCAUCAGGACCCAGCAGUAAGUCUUCUCCCAAGGACAGAAGCAGGAGCCGAGGUCACAAGGUACCAAUGACGUUGUGCCAAGAGGCAGAAAUUUGCAUAAUGAGAAUAAGAAAAAACAAAUCGCAUAGAAGACCAGCCUUCAGACCCAAGAGUGAAUCUGUCUCUGUCCCUGGGGAGGGAUGUAUGGCUCUAAGCUCUCAUGCAGAACAGUAGCUGGGACCACUGUCCCCUCCUAUGACUUCAUUUCUGGACUGUGGCUGAAGCCCAUGUGGGCUCUCCAAGCCACUGUUCUGGGGACUGGUGGGAUCCCUGAACUUAGAGGGGCUCGUGUUUGUUAAGCAUAUUUUGAAACUCUGCCUGUGUGAUGUCCCAUUUGGAUCAAAACUGCUCGCUGUCCUGGGUUGUUCUUUGUCAGAAUCAUGGGAGAUGCCCUGUCAGUCAGUGGGUGCUGAAGUGAUUUCAC